rnacentral:rRNA from 1 species
GAUGAACGCUGGCGGCGUGCCUAAUACAUGCAAGUCGAGCGAACAGACGAGGAGCUUGCUCCUCUGACGUUAGCGGCGGACGGGUGAGUAACACGUGGAUAACCUACCUAUAAGACUGGGAUAACUUCGGGAAACCGGAGCUAAUACCGGAUAACAUGUUGAACCGCAUGGUUCAACAGUGAAGGACGGUCUUGCUGUCACUUAUAGAUGGAUCCGCGCCGCAUUAGCUAGUUGGUAAGGUAACGGCUUACCAAGGCAACGAUGCGUAGCCGACCUGAGAGGGUGAUCGGCCACGCUGGAACUGAGACACGGUCCAGACUCCUACGGGAGGCAGCAGUAGGGAAUCUUCCGCAAAGGGCGAAAUCCUGACGGAGCAACGCCGCGUGAGUGAAGAAGGUCUUCGGAUCGUAAAACUCUGUUAUUAGGGAAGAACAAAUGUGUAAGUAACUAUGCACGUCUUGACGGUACCUAAUCAGAAAGCCACGGCUAACUACGUG